rnacentral:rRNA from 1 species
CGGGACUUAGUGCCGACGCUAACGCAUUAAGCACUCCGCCUGGGGAGUACGACCGCAAGGUUGAAACUCAAAGGAAUUGACGGGGGCCCGCACAAGCGGUGGAGCAUGUGGUUUAAUUCGAAGCAACGCGAAGAACCUUACCAGGUCUUGACAUCCCGAUGCCCGCUCUAGAGAUAGAGUUUUACUUUUUGUACAUCGGAGACAGGUGGUGCAUGGUUGUCGUCAGCUCGUGUCGUGAGAUGUUGGGUUAAGNCCCGCAACGAGCGCAACCCUUAUUGUUAGUUGCCAUCAUUAAGUUGGGCACUCUAGCGAGACUGCCGGUAAUAAACCGGAGGAAGGUGGGGAUGACGUCAAAUCAUCAUGCCCCUUAUGACCUGGGCUACACACGUGCUACAAUGGUUGGUACAACGAGUCGCAAGCCGGUGACGGCAAGCUAAUCUCUGAAAGCCAAUCUCAGUUCGGAUUGUAGGCUGCAACUCGCCUACAUGAAGUCGGAAUCGCUAGUAAUCGCGGAUCAGCACGCCGCGGUGAAUACGUUCCCGGGCCUUGUACAC